rnacentral:rRNA from 1 species
CCUACGGGAGGCUGCAGUAGAGAAUCAUUCACAAUGGGGGAAACCCUGAUGGUGCGACGCCGCGUGGGGGAAUGAAGGUCUUCGGAUUGUAAACCUCUGUCAUGUGGGAGCAAAUUAAAAAGAUAGUACCACAAGAGGAAGAGACGGCUAACUCUGUGCCAGCAGCCGCGGUAAUACAGAGGUCUCAAGCGUUGUUCGGAAUCACUGGGCGUAAAGGGUGCGUAGGCUGUUUCGUAAGUCGUGUGUGAAAGGCGCGGGCUCAACCCGCGGACGGCACAUGAUACUGGGAGACUAGAGUAAUGGAGGGGGAACCGGAAUUCUCGGUGUAGCAGUGAAAUGCGUAGAUAUCGAGAGGAACACUCGUGGCGAAGGCGGGUUCCUGGACAUUAACUGACGCUGAGGCACGAAGGCCAGGGGAGCGAAAGGGAUUAGAUACCCCAGUAGUC